rnacentral:rRNA from 1 species
GAUGAGCAUAUAUUAGAUUAGAUAGAUGGUGGAGUAAUAGCCUACCAAGGCAAUGAUCUAUAGCUGAUCUGAGAGGAUGAUCAGCCACACUGGAACUGAGAUACGGUCCAGACUCCUACGGGAGGCAGCAGUGGGGAAUAUUGGACAAUGGGCGAAAGCCUGAUCCAGCCAUGCCGCAUGAGUGAAGAAGGCCUUUGGGUUGUAAAGCUCUUUUAGUGAGGAAGAUAAUGACGGUACUCACAGAAGAAGUCCUGGCUAACUCCGUGCCAGCAGCCGCGGUAAUACGGAGAGGGCUAGCGUUAUUCGGAAUUAUUGGGCGUAAAGGGCGCGUAGGCUGAUUAAUAAGUUAAAAGUGAAAUCCCGAGGCUUAACCUUGGAAUUGCUUUUAAAACUAUUACUCUAGAGAUUGAAAGAGGAUAGAGGAAUUCCUGAUGUAGAGGUAAAAUUCGUAAAUAUUAGGAGGAACACCAGUGGCGAAGGCGUCUAUCUGGUUCAAAUCUGACGCUGAAGCGCGAAGGCGUGGGGAGCAAACAGGAUUAGAUACCCUGGUAGUCCACCCUGUAAAAGAUGAA